UGCAAGCAUACCCUCUGUUCCUGUAGUUGGAUCUGCAUGGGUCAGCAUUUAUGUUUGUAUCAAGCCCCUGUGGGAACCCACCUGCCUGGACCUGAUUUCAGCCUUGGAGCUUUCCUUUCCUGCCAUCACUUAAGGAAAGAGGGAGGCAACUACCUGACACCUGGAGAUUAUGAAAGUCAUGAAAUUCAGCCAAAAUCUGUUGGCAAUACUUGAACGAAGCCAACACAAUUUACUGAUAUUGUAUUUUCUGCAAUGUCUUCAAGAGCAGAAGAAUGGACUAGGGACUUUAAAAGAGAGAAAAG